GACGAACGCUGGCGGCGUGCCUAAUACAUGCAAGUUGAGCGCUGAAGGUUGGUACUUGUACCAACUGGAUGAGCAGCGAACGGGUGAGUAACGCGUGGGGAAUCUGCCUUUGAGCGGGGGACAACAUUUGGGAACGAAUGCUAAUACCGCAUAAAAACUUUAAACACAAGUUUUAAGUUUGAAAGAUGCAAUUGCAUCACUCAAAGAUGAUCCCGCGUUGUAUUAGCUAGUUGGUGAGGUAAAGGCUCACCAAGGCGAUGAUACAUAGCCGACCUGAGAGGGUGAUCGGCCACCUUGGGACUGAGACACGGCCCAAACUCCUACGGGAGGCAGCAGUAGGGAAUCUUCGGCAAUGGACGAAAGUCUGACCGAGCAACGCCGCGUGAGUGAAGAAGGUUUUCGGAUCGUAAAACUCUGUUGGUAGAGAAGAACGUUGGUGAGAGUGGAAAGCUCAUCAAGUGACGGUAACUACCCAGAAAGGGACGGCUAACUACGUG
rnacentral:rRNA from 1 species